UACGUAGGGUGCAAGCGUUGUCCGGAAUUAUUGGGCGUAAAGAGCUCGUAGGCGGUCUGUCGCGUCGGAUGUGAAAAUCCAGGGCUCAACCCUGGACCUGCAUUCGAUACGGGCAGACUAGAGUGAUGUAGGGGAGACUGGAAUUCCUGGUGUAGCGGUGAAAUGCGCAGAUAUCAGGAGGAACACCGAUGGCGAAGGCAGGUCUCUGGGCAUUAACUGACGCUGAGGAGCGAAAGCAUGGGGAGCGAACAGG
rnacentral:rRNA from 1 species